UUUGACUAUCAGCUAGCAUAAAAAGACGAGUCAUUGAAAUGUCGCAUGGUUGAUAUUAACUUAACUACAAGCUGUUGAACCUUGUGAUGGUGAUGUCCUUGAAUGUGUCUGCAGGAGUGCAACUCCAUGGAAGUUGCUGGAUUUGAUAUCUCUUCCUGCUGUGCUCCAUUUCCUUCAUCGCAGGAUUCAAUGCAAAUAUUUACAGAAGGAUUUACAUUAGAGAGCUCUUACACUCGGGGUUCAAAGAAUUUAGCAUGGAAGGAGAUUAAAUUUACAGGUCACAACUCUGUAGAUCUCGAAAUCAACAUCUCCGGCUAAACCGGUAUAAAGUCUCCAUCAAAGAGUGUGAAUUCUUGAAUAUGCAAGGCUUUUUUUUAUCUCUUUUAUUUUAUUGGAACACAAAGUCUAAAUAGUUAGCCAGUGUGAUGUGAGUCUAAAUUUCUAUGGUGUAGGAAACCCUUUUUCACCAAACAAUAACCAAUCUUUGAAACA